AUGGAAAACAUUUCUUCAUGCUAUUCUUUAAAAAAAUCCUUUGAAAUGCUUGAAUUAACCUUUAAAACAUUUUUUCUUUGCCUUUGUCACCAGAGAAUUUCCCAUCCAUCCCGAAAGGAGAGUUUUCAGGUUAUGGAAAUGGAAGGUCAAGAAGUUGCAGUCACCUUUAAGAGACAACUGUACAUUCUCCACCUGCCAGAUGACAUGACAAGUUGCUGAAAAAAACAACCAAAGAAGGACCUAUCCUUUCCAUCCCAAUGCAAGUUACAUCUGGGAUAAUCACAAGCAGCAAUAUGAGACACAACAUGGCAGUGACCCUGGUGCCCUCUGGAAGUCUAGUGUACAGCGAAGUACAAAAUGGGAAACCUGUUACCUUACAGAUUUAUCAUGCAAUGCCCUUGAGCUUCAGAAGGCCAAUAGAACUGGAAGUUGACUUAAGGUACAAAGAGGCUCAAUUUUAACUUUCCAGAACGAGAUAUUUCUGGGGAUUAGUUUCAUUCCAAAAUGCAGGAAGGAGCCGGUAUUCCCUCUGCAAAUCCUGCCCCAUUCAUGUAACAGUACCUCUUCUGGUUUCUGGCAGUGAGUCAAGGUUUAAGAUUUUAUUUCAUUCUCCUUUUGGUACAGCGUGGUACGUAACAGCCACAGCAGACUGUACAGUCUUGAGUGCUGGCACGAGUCAGAGGUGUAUAUAUCUUAGCACCCAGAAGGGGCUGUUCUGAUGCUAUGGUGACAUAUGGAGCCAUAGAGGUGACAUCAACUGAGGAUGUUAAGUGCUUAGUCCUCUCUUCUGUGCCUGGGAAUGGUGGUGACUCUAGCUAUACAAAAAGCCUCACCAUGAUACAGAUUUUAUUUCCAAGAAAAUGUCUGGUGAACUGCAAGGAAUUGUCACCAAGUUGGCCUUAGGAAAAGAAUUGCUUCUUCUUGACACUUAGCCCAGUGCUAAAUAGCUGAGUAGAAA
rnacentral:lncRNA from 1 species